rnacentral:misc_RNA from 1 species
GAUGAAGAACGUAGUGAAAUGCGAUAAGUAAUGUGAAUUGGAGAAUUCAGUGAAUCAUCGAAUCUUUGAACGCACCUUGCGCCCUUUGGCUAUUCCGAAGGGCAUGCCUGUUUGAGUAUCAUGAACACCUCAACUCUCAUGGCUUGCUGUGAUGAGCUUGGAAUUUGGGGGUCUUGUUGGCUUGUGAGCCAGCUCCUCCUAAAUGAAUUAGCUUGCCGGUGUUUGGUGGCAUCACAGGUGUGAUAACUAUCUACGCUUGUGGUUUCCCAUCAGGUAACCUCCAGUGAUGGAGGUUCGCUGGGGCUCAUAAAUGUCUCUCCUCAGUGAGGACAGAUUUUGACUGUUUGAUCUCAAAUCAGGUAGGACUACCCGCUGAACUUAAGCAUAUCAAUAAGCGGAGGA